rnacentral:snRNA from 1 species
GGAUGUAAGGGUGAUCUGGCCGCAACAUCUGUCACCCCGUUGAUUGCCAGGGUGGAUUGAGCUCAUCUGGCUAGCUAGGCAAGUAUCCCCUUCCUCUCUCACGUCUCCAUGUGCAUCCCUCCCAAAGCUGUGCAUUGGUCAAAGAGGACAACCUUCCCCAAUAAAGGAAGACCAUUCUUUGGUCAAGAGUAUACGAGUAACUGCACUUGCCUGCUAGAACCUCUAAGCAAGCUCCCAAGGCCCAUUUGUAGAAGAAGGUAGGGUAGGCGAGCUUCCAAGAUUCCAGACACAUCCAAAUGAGGCACUGCAUGUGGCAGUCUGCCUUUCCUU